rnacentral:lncRNA from 1 species
GUCGAACUGAAGCCUUGGUGAUUUACACUGCACGUGUGCUCUACUCAGCACAGGGUUAGGAGACCGCACAUGGACGUGCGGUAACUAAAUGUUGAACUCCACCUGCUCACAGUCAGAAGGAUUGUUCAGGAUCCUCUGCAUCUCGACCUCUCUGGGGAAGCUUUGGUGUCAUGGAAACAAAUUCCUAACACACACACUCUUCUUUUCAUGUGCUGGGCAGUUCCUAAAGCAAAACAACCACAAGUCCCCCUGCUUCCUGACAGGCCAAGGCUGCUAUAAGACCAUCAGAGACUCAGCCAUCAGGCCCAGGCUCCACACUCCUGCUACUGUGCUUCCCUGCUUUCCUGUUGUUCAUUUGCCUUAGAAGGCUACUUUCAAGACUCUUUGUAUGCCAGACCAAACAAGAGUGGAUCUAAAACUCUACAAGUGGGUGGGGGAUUUGGUGCAGUGGUUCUAGCACCUGCCUCCCAAGCACAAGGGCCCCAGAUUGAUCCCCAGUGCCAAAAAUAAAUAAAUA